rnacentral:rRNA from 1 species
GACAGAGGUGCCAAGCGUUAGGCGGAAUCACUGGGCUUAAAGCGUGUGUAGGCGGAAUGGUAAGUACCUUGUGAAAUCCCUCGGCUUAACCGAGGAACUGCCCUCCAAACUGCUUGGCUUGAGUCCGGGAGAGGUGAGUGGAAUUCCCAGUGUAGCGGUGAAAUGCGUAGAUAUUGGGAGGAACACCAGUGGCGAAGGCGGCUCACUGGACCGGAACUGACGCUGAGGCGCGAAAGCGUGGGGAGCAAACGGG